rnacentral:lncRNA from 1 species
UGCAAGCAUGAGGUACUAUUUCUCCAAUUUUUUUUUUAACUAAAUCUACCAUUCCUGCACUGAUCUUCUCCUUCAUCUUCUUUCUCUUUCCUUCUUUCUUCUCUUUACAAAAUCAAAAAUUGAAAUCUUGAAUUCGAGUUGCAAGCUUAAAUUGUACAUUGGACGGGCUUAAUCAGUUGGUUUUAUGUAAGUUUAUCACUUUCUUUUUCUUUUUUUUUUUUUUUUGUCGUCUAAAAUGAAACGAAAUUUGAAUAAUUUAAUUUAGUUGGAUUUGAAUAUGGGUGAGAGAGAAGUGCAUAUAUGUGGUGGGGAAAGUGGAUGCUUGGGGUAGUACUCCGCGAAUUGCGGAGAAGGCAAAAUUACACAUAUUAUUGUUCUGGUUUCAUCGGUCACUCCUAUGUAAAUUACACGAUUACUUUCAACGUCCGUCUUUCUUAGAGACACAAGAUUAGAGAAACAGAGAGGGAAAAUAAAAGAAAAUUAAUAAAGAACAAGAAUUUGGAAUGGAAAGCAUACCGAGCUGGCAAGUAAUUUUUCUAGGCGAAAUAUGGAUUGUGUUUUCUUCAAUUCUCAAUGUGAGCCAGAAACUCAGAUCACUUACAUAGCCAUGGGUCUCUCACUAUGUAAUGUCUGGUACUUCCAUUGCUCUUAAGAUCCAGGUUUGUAUUUGAGGGCUUUGUUAAUCUGAAGAAUAUGUAUUGAAAGAUUGGAUUUUUAUGGGGUUUUUGGAAUGAUCUUGAUUUAACUUUGUUGGGUCCUGCAGAGAUACGAGCAUAGAUAUUUGGAUUCGUUAUUUUCUGGGCUAUCUUUUGUCGUUUCUGUGCCUUUCUACACUGCCUUUCUUCAUUUGCUCUUCUGGGUUUGUUCUCUAUCACCCUCUACUAGAUUUACCUUUAUUGAGGGAAAUAAUCGUUGUUUUCUUGGUUUUAUAAUGUAGAAUGGGCAUUGCAAAUUGGCUAAGCAGAUGACUCUUUUAUUAUCCUUUUGUGAUUAUAUGGGAAAUUGUAUAAAGGUUUCCCUAUUUUGAUCAUCACAUGUAUAAUAAUACAUUUCCUCGCAUAAUUCCGCAUGAAUUAUUUCAAUCGUAUUCUGCAAAUUUGUUUGGACCAUGUUUUGUAGGAUGUGGCAUCAGCACGCAGUCCAAGUUCACCACCUGUUAGGAGAGUAACAGCCACCAAAGAUGAGGAAUCGGCACCCAAACCACCUUCACCACCAAAGAUGAACUACAGCCACCAAAGAUGAGGUCUCUGUGCAAAGCGGAGACGUAGUAACCCUGCGUUGCGGGGAGACGUCACGGUAGCUCCGUGCAGCACUGUCUUCAAGCGUGCUACGUAGUCUCCACACAUCUCCAAUUUUUCCCCCUUCCUAAGACUUCCUCUACACCUUAAUCCUAAAACUUGCAGCUCUCAUUUCUUCUCCUGCCUUUUUUCAUAACUUUCUGAUUUUUGGAGAUAUUUUAGGAUUGUCAGUUUUUGGUGAAAUUUUAGUCAAAUUUGAUUAGAAACGUGUCAAUGAACUUAACUCAACAGCUUUGUAGUUGACUUAGGACCAAUUUUGGGCAAAUUUCUUGGUUUAUGCGUCCUUUCCUUUUUGGUAAAUUUUGUUCGGUUAUAUCUCGACUAAUUUAAGUCGAAUUUGAAUUCCGUUUGUUGGAAGAUAAUUCUUAAGAUUAGGACUCUCAAUUUUAAUCAUUAUCUUGAUUUUUUCCAUUUAAAUUUUUUUUUUUUUGGAAUUUAUUUUCACUAUAUAAAACAUUGUAACUAACUGGUAGAAAUAAAAAUUUUUGGGAGUUUUUUUCCUACUAAGGUGAGACUUUGGGUCACAUGAUUUUUUACUUGUGACCACAAUGUUUUGAUUACAAUGGCAAUGAGAGAACGACAGUCAUCAACACUGAAA